AGGAUUGAAAAACAGCCUCAACGAGGCGCUAGCACCAUGGAGCUUUCCGUCAUUCGGGCCAGAGAGGAAGUGCAAGCAGGCGCCCUUCCCUGCCCCCACCGCCUGCCUUCCUGCGUCCCUCCACCUCCGCUCUCCGACCCCGGCCGUGCUUCCCAGACCCUUUGUUCUCCAGGUUGGGAGCAGCUGGAUGGGUUCCCCGGGGAGGAGGUGUCCCCGCUGCACGUGGAGGGGAAAGGAUUGUCCCCAGGCUUCCGACCCUCAGUUCUCGCCUUUAGAGUCCCCUGAGCCCCACCGCCCUCUACUUGGGCAGCUCCGUGCGGGCUUUCCCGCCUCUCUUUCCACGUCGCGGCCUCCCGGGUCUCCAGGAAGAGGAAGGGUAAAGACUGACGCCAGGGGCUAGAGAGACCACGUCUACUUCCAGGCGCUGAGAAACUCCUGGGACUCGUUUGGGCCUGAACCCACACGCCCGCCGCAGGUCGCAGAGGACAUCCUCGGACCUUGGGCGCAUGGUCCCGGCACAGCCUCUCUUCGUGAGGACCCCAGAGCCCUAGAAGGGAGAAUGGGACAUUGUAUGUCGCGCCCAGGAGUCUGAUUGCAAACGAACGCCCUCUCCACCCCACCCUAGGCGGCACCACCCGCGUCGCCCCUCUGCUGCGCGUGACCCCAAGGGCUUGGGCGAUUGUGUCUCCCUGAGUACAGUUACAAUUGUGUUCGGCUUAA
rnacentral:lncRNA from 1 species